rnacentral:lncRNA from 1 species
AAUUAGCGAUCAGCUGCUCGCAACAAGCAAAGAAGAUUGCGAAAAUGGGAAAAAUUGUUUUUGCCUUCCCAAAGAAGAGAGCGCGAAAAACCCGUGGCCUCCUCGCCUCUCCUCCCCUCCUCUGUGUAUGGAGCGGCGCCCAGCGACUGGAUUCCGCGCCGGGAGACUCACCCUGAACGCGUAUGUCGGUCUGGCUCGGUACGUACCCCUUCCUGUCGGGCACCUUCUCACUUUUACCUUUUUCCAGGCAGUUUCACGCACGGAAAAUGAAUUAGACGCUGGAGGAAAAACAAGCGCGUCCGAUCGCUUUCACUCUUCACUUUCCCUCCGGCUGUACAAGUGUGUGAGUACGUGUGUGUGAGUGCCGUGCAUGUGUGCCUGGCCACACUGUUAGACGUUGGACAUUUGGUAAAGUGCGUGUGACGCUGUCGCAGAUGAGUUCAUGCCACAUAACAGAGCAAGUAAUUGCAUUCACACCCCACACAUUUGUCAUUAACGAUGUGUGAUAGCAGUGAGUGAACAAACCCUCGUAUAAUUAUAUAGAAAGGCAGUGCUAGUAAGUAAACUAGUAACUUACAUUUAUUUUUAUGAUGGUUUCCCCCCAUACUAAAUAUGUUCCAAGGAGUG